rnacentral:rRNA from 1 species
UACGGGGGGGGGCAAGCGUUGUUCGGAAUUACUGGGCGUAAAGGGUUCGUAGGUGGCCAACUAAGCCAGACGUGAAAUCCCUCAGCUUAACUGGGGAACUGCGUCUGGGACUGGAUGGCUUGAGUGCAGGAGAGGAACGCGGAAUUCCAGGUGUAGCGGUGAAAUGCGUAGAGAUCGGGAGGAAGGCCGGUGGCGAAGGCGGCGCUCUGGAACAUUUCUGACGCUGAGGCUCGAAAGCGUGGGGAGCAAACAGG